rnacentral:rRNA from 1 species
GACAGAGGGUGCAAGCGUUGUUCGGAAUUAUUGGGCGUAAAGGGCGCGUAGGCGGCCUCGUAAGUCAACUGUGAAAUCCCCGGGCUCAACCUGGGAACUGCCUUUGUGACUGCAAGGCUAGAGUGUGUCAGAGGGGGGUAGAAUUCCACGUGUAGCAGUGAAAUGCGUAGAGAUGUGGAGGAAUACCGAUGGCGAAGGCAGCCCCCUGGGACAUGACUGACGCUCAUGCACGAAAGCGUGGGGAGCAAACAGG